rnacentral:misc_RNA from 1 species
AUAUAAAAUAGAGCAAGAUUCAUCUAGUAGGCACAGAAAGUGAUAGAAGUACUUGCACCAGGUGCUGGUACUUAAAUGCGGAACCCUACAACAAAGGAACUAGAUGUGAGGUACUGUAGCAAGGGAGCUAAUACCCGGGGGAGUUAUUAGGUACUUGAGUACCAACAGGUAGCUACGAACCAGAAGGAGAAUCUAAUGCCAUCUCUACUAGCAUAAAUAAUAAGGGAUAUGUCAAAUAUGCAUUUCUAACAACAAUUAAGUAAGAAACACAGGUACCAAUAUGCAAUUCAAUACACAAAUGCUUAUGAUCAUAUUGCAGUAAGUGCAGGUACCUGAGCAUCAAACAGGUACUUAUGAAUUUCUCAAAUCUAAUAAAAAUCAACAAGACCCAUUCAAGUGUUUGAUUACUCCACGACAAAAUUAGCGUCAAAAAGGAAAUAGAAGGUUGGAUAGUUACCAAAAUCAAGAGCAAUAAAUGU